GAACCUCACUGCAAGCUGGUCUGGCUAACAUGGCAAGCUUCCGGUUCAGUGGAGGACUCUACGUUCAAUCAGGUCUUGCGAGCACCUCAUAGUAUUAUUGUGCUGCAUCUGCUGGUGAGGCUGUCUCAGGUGUUUUAACGUCUGAGUCCUUAGCUGAGAUCUGGGAUGUCCAAACCAACCUGCCUUCAUUGCAAGCCCUGCUCUCCUUUGCACUAUCAGAUAAGUUCCUUUUAAUGUGUUUAGAAUCAACCUCUUUCAAACAUGCCUCAUUUCUCCAAGGAUUAAUAAACACAUUCUGGCCCUCUCGUGAUUUUCAGCACAUGUAAAAUACAUCACUUCUUUACUUGAGCUUCCUAGAGGGUAAUUGUUCAUUCACACUCUUCCUAUGAAAGGAUUACUGCACUAAAAUUCGUUGUCUGGUAAGCAGUGUUGCAAAGGCUUUCAAUAGCGAAGAAAAUGGCUUAAAAGACACGGAGAUGAUACAAUGGUCACAGAGUAAAGUUUUGCUGUGUUAUGAAGUCUAUUCUUUUAUGGAAACACUUGUGUAUGGAAAACAGGAAUGCCUGUCAGGGCAAAGACAACCCUCUGGCCCGGGAUCCUUUGGUAUCUGAAUUCUGGGGUGCCUAUUGUGCAGGUCUGAAAUACGAAGGCACAUCAAGUGCAGAGGUAGGAUCAAGCAUCUGGACUGUGAUUUAUCCAGCUUUUUUUUUUCUGAGUUCAAGCCCUGAACAUGUCUAGUGUGAUGAACAGAAUGAAUGAGAGCAAAUUGACUUUCAUACUCUCACAGGGAGGAGAGUCACGCAAGUGCGGAUCCAUCACCAGCCAUGGCUGUCCUGACAGCAUUCAUCCACCAGAGCCAGCUUUUGUGUGGGCAAUGCCAGGGAAAUUUAUUUCUCUGAGUGAGUUUACUGCCUACAUUCAGGGUGUCUCAUCUUUCUGGCAAUCAGGAUAAAUUGUGUCUCUGUAAUAACACUGUAGCAAGCUAUUCUUUACCAUGAGGAGUCAGUAAUGACUGUGUCUUACAUUUGCAUUCAUUCUGACAAGAUUUACUGGUGCUUGCUGAUCUGUAAAUUUCAAAAUGGCAAACAGCAUCAAAGGUCAAUGCAGUGAUAAUAUUAAUAGCUUUAGGAAAAGGUUGAGAGGCUUGGAAAUUCCAGAUAAUAUCCUCGGUAAGAGGGAAAUCCAUUUAGCGAUGGUUGUCCUCAUUCUUGCUAUUGCUUCUUUCUCUCUGUAUAGGGCAGCCAUAGCACCCUAGAAAAUGAAUCAAGCAGCACAAAAGGUCAAUAAUACGGAAUUUUGUUGAGUCACAGGUGAGACCAUCCUUCAGGGUUCCUGCUUCAUGAAAGAGUCUGCCAGACAUUCUGAGGGACACAGAAGAAAGGAAUUGAUGGACUUUGCCAUUACAAGGCUAAACAGAUCUUCAAAUUUGCUGCUUCAUAGAAAAGUCUGCUGGAUACCAUGGGCCUGUAGACUGAAGAUGGAUGCCGAGAAGAAUGUUACAGAAGAACUUUGUGUUCAGGUCUUGUGCCAGUGACCGCAGCUGCUAUGAGAUACGACUGUGAUGACCACAUCAUGUCCGGAAGUCAGCAUUUCACCGAAGUCUUCCUCACCUUCAGGUUUUUAUCAUUUUUGACUCUUCUAAGAUAUUUCCUGAGCUGUGGCUUCCAGCAGCAGAAGUGGCCAGAUUCAAGGUGUGUCUUAAUACCUCAAGAGCUGUAUUAAAUGCACACAUCUUUCAGCCUCAAGAUCCAGAUCAAAGCUGCUCUAUGAAGAUUCUCUGGAGAAAGGGAACUUCCUUGGAUUUCUCCUCGGAGUUGAUGAAGUGGAAGACGACGAGCUUUCUCCUAAAUGUUUUUGUCAGCACUAGAUUAUUUGAGGAUUGUUCCAUCUUCCUUGUGACCAGAAGGCAGUGGAAAUAAAACAAGCUUUUUUUUUGGAAUUGUAUAUUUUAUUAAAAUGGAAUCAUGGUUGUCUUUCGAGCUUUGUGUUGUAAAUUAGCAAAUUUUGCACUAAAAUAAAUAAUAAAUGAGGUUAAAAGG